rnacentral:rRNA from 1 species
UUGAUCCUGGCUCAGGAUGAACGCUGGCGGCGUGCUUAACACAUGCAAGUCGAACGAAGCACUUGUCUUUGAUUCUUCGGAUGAAGAGGUUUGUGACUGAGUGGCGGACGGGUGAGUAACGCGUGGGUAACCUGCCUCAUACAGGGGGAUAACAGUUAGAAAUGACUGCUAAUACCGCAUAAGACCACGGAGCCGCAUGGCUCAGUGGGAAAAACUCCGGUGGUAUGAGAUGGACCCGCGUCUGAUUAGGUAGUUGGUGGGGUAACGGCCUACCAAGCCAACGAUCAGUAGCCGACCUGAGAGGGUGACCGGCCACAUUGGGACUGAGACACGGCCCAAACUCCUACGGGAGGCAGCAGUGGGGAAUAUUGCACAAUGGGGGAAACCCUGAUGCAGCGACGCCGCGUGAGCGAAGAAGUAUUUCGGUAUGUAAAGCUCUAUCAGCAGGGAAGAAAAUGACGGUACCUGACUAAGAAGCACCGGCUAAAUACGUGCCAGCAGCCGCGGUAAUACGUAUGGUGCAAGCGUUAUCCGGAAUUAUUGGGCGUAAAGAGCAUGUAGGCGGCUUAAUAAGUCGAGCGUGAAAAUGCGGGGCUCAACCCCGUAUGGCGCUGGAAACUGUUAGGCUUGAGUGCAGGAGAGGAAAGGGGAAUUCCCAGUGUAGCGGUGAAAUGCGUAGAUAUUGGGAGGAACACCAGUGGCGAAGGCGCCUUUCUGGACUGUGUCUGACGCUGAGAUGCGAAAGCCAGGGUAGCGAACGGGAUUAGAUACCCCGGUAGUCCUGGCCGUAAACGAUGGGUACUAGGUGUAGGAGGUAUCGACCCCUUCUGUGCCGGAGUUAACGCAAUAAGUACCCCGCCUGGGGAGUACGGCCGCAAGGUUGAAACUCAAAGGAAUUGACGGGGGCCCGCACAAGCGGUGGAGUAUGUGGUUUAAUUCGAAGCAACGCGAAGAACCUUACCAGGCCUUGACAUCCCUUGCAGAGGUAUAGAGAUAUAUCCGAGGUUAUCAAGGAGACAGGUGGUGCAUGGUUGUCGUCAGCUCGUGUCGUGAGAUGUUGGGUUAAGUCCCGCGACGAGCGCAACCCUUGUGAUAUGUUACUAACAUUGAGUUGAGGACUCAUAUCAGACUGCCGGUGAUAAACCGGAGGAAGGUGGGGAUGACGUCAAAUCAUCAUGCCCCUUAUGGCCUGGGCUACACACGUACUACAAUGGCGUCUACAAAGAGCGGCAAGCCUGUGAAGGCAAGCGAAUCUCAUAAAGGACGUCUCAGUUCGGAUUGAAGUCUGCAACCCGACUUCAUGAAGCUGGAAUCGCUAGUAAUCGCGAAUCAGCAUGUCGCGGUGAAUACGUUCUCGGGCCUUGCACUCACCGCCCGUCA